UACGGAGGGGGCUAGCGUUGUUCGGAAUUACUGGGCGUAAAGCGUGUGUAGGCGGACGCCUAAGUGUCUUGUGAAAUCCCACGGCUCACCCGUGGAACUGCUGGGCAUACUGGGCGUCUUGGGCCAACUAGGGGCAGCCGGAACAAGCGGUGGAGCGGUGAAAUGCGUAGAUAUCGCUUGGAACGCCGAAGGUGAAAACAGGCUGCUGGGGUUGUGCCGACGCUGAGACACGAAAGCCAGGGGAGCAAACGGG
rnacentral:rRNA from 1 species